rnacentral:lncRNA from 13 species
AUCAACAACUAGCUACUAUCAACAACUAGCUAUUAUUAACAACUAGCUACUAUCAACAACUAGCUAUUAUCAACAACUAGCUACUAUCAACAACUAGCUAUUAUCAACAACUAGCUAUUAUCAACAACUAGCUACUAUCAACAACUAGCUACUAUCAACAACUAGCUACUAUCAACAACUAGCUCGUAGAAAUCAGGUCAAAUGUCAAUUAUGGAUCCAGAAUGAAACGCCACCUGAGACCUACAACAUUGGGUCAGCCCUGCAACAUUGGCUCAGCCUUGCAACAUUGGGUCAGCCUUGCAACAUUGGGUCAGCCUUGUACCAUUGGGUCAGCCUUGCAACAUUGGUUCAGCCUUGUAACAUUGGGUCAGCCCUGCAACAUUGGGUCAGCCUUGCAACAUUGGGUCAGCCUUGCAACAUUGGGUCAGCCUUGUAACAUUGGGUCAGCCUUGCAACAUUGGGUCAGCCCUUCAAGAUGGGUCAGCCCUGCAACAUUGGGUCAGCCCUACAACAUUGGGUCAGCCUUGCAUGUGCUGGUCAAACUAGUAGCAACUACCAGGCCUGGCUCUGUAGAAACAGGAAGUAACAGGAACUGGUAACUCGGGUUGCGAAGGCACGGCAGAGCAUGGUGUUGGUUUUCCUUUAAUAUUGGAUAGGGGGUAAUAAAGAAGAGUAAACUGAAACCCAACCAGGAACAACAGACAACCAUUUCCCUUGCUCCUCCUCUGCUGGUCUCCUUGUCUCCCUCCCAUUCCGCCUCUCCACCAUGGGUGUCCGGGCCUUCAGCUGCUCUGCACCCAGGAUAGAAUGCACUCCCGCCACACAUACAAGAUGCAGACACAGUCAUCUCAUUCAAAAACCUAUUCAAGGAUGCCUAUAACCUAUAUAAUGUCUUCCAUGAUUUACCUUCUGUGCAUUCUCAGUAUCCCUAUGUAUUCCCCAACCCACAACCUUACCCUAAACUGGUUCCCUAUCCUAUACCCAGCCGGGGCUGUAUCCUAUACCCGGCCUUACCACCUAAACCGGGUCUGUAUCCUAUACCCAGCCUUACCCCCUAAACCGGGUCUGUAUCCUAUACCCAGCCUUACCCCCUAAACCGGGUCUGUAUCCUAUACCCAGCCUUACCCGCUAAACCGGGUCUGUAUCCUAUACCCAGCCGGGUCUGUAUCCUAUACCCAGCCCUACCCCCUAAACCAGGUAUGUAUCCUAUACCCAGCCGGGUCUGUAUCCU